CACGUAGGGCGCAAGCGUUGUCCGGAAUUAUUGGGCGUAAAGAGCUCGUAGGCGGACUGUUGCGUCCGCUGUGAAAAGCUGGGGCUUAACCCUGGCCUUGCAGUGGAUACGGGCAGACUAGAGGUAGGUAGGGGAGAAUGGAAUUCCCGGUGUAGCGGUGAAAUGCGCAGAUAUCGGGAGGAACACCGGUGGCGAAGGCGGUUCUCUGGGCCUUACCUGACGCUGAGGCACGAAGGCCAGGGGAGCAAACGGG
rnacentral:rRNA from 1 species